rnacentral:rRNA from 1 species
AGUGAACGCUGGCGGUAGGCCUAACACAUGCAAGUCGAACGGCCGCACAGUAAGAGCUUGCUCUUACGGGUGGCGAGUGGCGGACGGGUGAGGAAUACAUCGGAAUCUACUUUUUCGUGGGGGAUAACGUAGGGAAACUUACGCUAAUACCGCAUACGACCUACGGGUGAAAGCAGGGGAUCUUCGGACCUUGCGUGAUUGAAUGAGCCGAUGUCGGAUUAGCUAGUUGGCGGGGUAAAGGCACACCAAGGCGACGAUCCGUAGCUGGUCUGAGAGGAUGAUCAGCCACACUGGAACUGAGACACGGUCCAGACUCCUACGGGAGGCAGCAGUAGGGAAUAUUAGGCAAUGGGCGCAAGCCUGAUCCAGCCAUACCGCGUGAGUGAAGAAGGCCUUCGGAUUGUAAAGCCCUUUUGUUGGGAAAGAAAAACAGCAUAUGAAUACCCCGCUGUUCUGACGGUACCCAAAGAAAAAGCACCGGCUAACUUCGUG